UACGAGGGGGGCAAGCGUUGUUCGGAAUUAUUGGGCGUAAAGGGCGCGUAGGCGGUGCGGUAAGUCCGCUGUGAAAGUCGGGGGCUCAACCCUCGAAUGCCGGUGGAUACUGUCGGGCUAGAGUGCGGAAGAGGCGAGUGGAAUUCCUGGUGUAGCGGUGAAAUGCGCAGAUAUCAGGAGGAACACCAAUUGCGAAGGCAGCUCGCUGGGACGUUACUGACGCUGAGACGCGAAAGCGUGGGGAGCAAACAGG
rnacentral:rRNA from 1 species